rnacentral:rRNA from 1 species
AUUGAACGCUGGCGGAAUGCUUUACACAUGCAAGUCGAACGGCAGCACGGACUUCGGUCUGGUGGCGAGUGGCGAACGGGUGAGUAAUGUAUCGGAACGUGCCCAGUCGUGGGGGAUAACGUAGUGAAAAUUACGCUAAUACCGCAUACGAUCUAUGGAUGAAAGCGGGGGAUCGCAAGACCUCGCGCGAUUGGAGCGGCCGAUAUCAGAUUAGGUAGUUGGUGGGGUAAAGGCCCACCAAGCCAACGAUCUGUAGCUGGUCUGAGAGGACGACCAGCCACACUGGAACUGAGACACGGGCCAGACUCCUACGGGAGGCAGCAGUGGGGAAUUUUGGACAAUGGGUGAAAGCCUGAUCCAGCCAUUCCGCGUGCAGGAUGAAGGCCCUCGGGUUGUAAACUGCUUUUGUACAGAACGAAAAGGUUUCUACUAAUACUAGGAGCUCAUGACGGUACUGUAAGAAUAAGCAUCGGCUAACUACGUGCCAGCAGCCGCCGUAA